rnacentral:rRNA from 1 species
GACGAACGCUGGCGGCGUGCCUAAUACAUGCAAGUUGAACGCAACAAAGACACCAGAGCUUGCUCUACCGUCUUUGUUGAGUAGCGAACGGGUGAGUAACGCGUGGGUAACCUGCCUUAUAGCGGGGGAUAACUAUUGGAAACGAUAGCUAAUACCGCAUAACAAUAGAGAUUGCAUAAUCUUUAUUUGAAAGUGCCAACUGGUACACUAUGAGAUGGACCCGCGUUGUAUUAGCUAGUUGGUAGUGUAAUGGACUACCAAGCGAUGAUACAUAGCCGACUGAGAGGUGAUCGGCCACAUUGGGACUGAGACAGGCCCAAAUCCUACGGGAGGCAGCAGUAGGGAAUCUUCGGC